ensembl:lncRNA
UGGUGAUCUGGGAGGAUCUGAAAUGACUGGGGAGUUAGAUAACAUGCAGUGAAGAUGAAAAUAAACUAUGAUGUGGUCAAAUGUGUGACAAACAUAGCAGCACCAAAUUUGAAAAAUAUUUCUACAACAUUUUACAACAACAAAUUCAGGCUUUGAGUCACCAUUUGCAAGGGCAUUGGUUUCCAUGUUGAUGCAGAUUAGACUUACUACAAACUAUACCUCUGCUGUUGUAAUCCCUUGAGUUUUUGAAUUGUCCAAAAAGCAUUUAAAAUGGGAUAAUAGCUGUAUAUUGCUCCUUGCACGCAGCCAGCGCCCUUUGCUUCGCUCAUUCUCCCCCGAGCCCAAGCCGUUCCUGGCAGGAUGGAGAGAUCGGGUGUAAAUGAGUCAUGCCAUGUGACGAGAUGAGCCUCCAUCAAAACAGCUGUCAAGAUCAAUACAUUUCUAAUUGCCAGUACAGCCUGCUUAAUGGAGAACCGGGAAAGAAGACUGAAAGAAUGCACGAGAAUAAUAUAUGAGCACCUGACCUCUGUGAUUGGAAAAAUACCAUGGAUAAAUUGUGACGUAAUCAUUCUCCUUUCUGUUUGUGAUUGCUGUCAUAUAACAGUGCUUAAGGAAGCUUUUACAUUGGAAGGGUUUCCUUCCAAAAGUUUUGCUAAAAUGAAUGAGGAAAAAACAUAAUUGACUCUGUCCAGUAAAUUAAUGGAAUUGGUCAGCUAUUGGCUCGGUAAAACAAGUUACUGCCAUGUUGAUCGCUUUAAUGUUUUAAUGGACCGAAUGCUCUGUGCUGUCGAUUGAAGUACGGUCAACUCCAUUGCUAUUUUAUGGGUUGGAUCCUGAUGUAGUGCACCGCACUGAUAUGUGGGGAGAAACAAAUUAAGUGAGGGAAAUUAAGUUAGGGAAAUAAAUUAAGGUGAUGAUCGUGAUGUACAGUGGAAGGCCAAAGCAAGCAAAUGCAUGAGUAAAGCUCUGAUCCUGCAAAAUGGAAUUAAUACUAAGAAUACAACUGGGAGCAUGAAGCUGACCUUCGGGUGUGAAUCCAGCAGCAACAGAGGAAGAGAAAUGUGUUUCUGUGCAAUGCAAAAGCUAUUGUAAAAGACACUGUGAAGGUAAUGCUGGUUCUGCCACUAUGGUGACACAGGCAUCGGCCACGUGAACACACGCGGACGAACAGCCCGGACUCGGACCCUCCACCUCGCUGCAGCAGUUAACGUCGGCCUCCGUGAAGUGCAGCGAAACCACAUCAGCCCAAGACAACUUUUACAAGCCCUGUGCUGUCCGUCCUGCCCUCCAUCACACCGCCCCUUUUCUCCCAAAGGCAACGUUCCCCAUCCCAGAACCCUCCCCUAGGACCCAUUGGCACUCUCGGGUUGAGGUUUUACUUUCAGAAAUUUGUUCUUUUUUUACGGACAGCUGCUCCAGAGACAGAAACCAUUUUAACGGGAAGGAGCUAACGAUCAGCAAUAUUUACAACUUUGCCAGCUUGGAAUCUUAACCAACAAAUAUAUGACUUGAGGUUUAAAUUUGAGGUUUGUUCUCUGAUUUAAAUGCCAAAAAUAUUCAAACUGCUAGACAGCUUCUGGCUGUAUUGAAAUGUUUGGUGUGUGCUUUCAGUCUGUCAGAAGAGGAGGGAAAGUUACACACAUGCAGACCUUUACAUUGGCUUUUGAAUUAUUGCAAGUCUAUUAACAAGGGUUAAUGAUAUUUUUUGUUAAUCAUCACAAAUUAAGACCACUUUUAUCAUUUCUAAAGCAAUUAAAAAUCUAUGGUUGGCUGUAAACAAACUACAGCAUGGUUUAUUUAAGUUCUUAAGGUUGUGUUAACCACAAACUUUAUUUCAGUCAUCCAGCCAAAAAAAACACUGACUUUGAGACAAGGAAAACAGUCCGCAUAAAUCCCUCAGCAGCGUAUCGUAAACCAACCAACGAUCGUCUCUGCGCUCACAGCAGCUCCCAGUGUGCUUCACGGUUCCCUUAAAAUGGAUGGAGCAGCAUUCCACGCGAUCAUCUGCAGAGAUGUGCAAUAGGGAACAAGAGCACUUCUAUUUUUUCUCUUCCAUUCUCCUCUUCCUCCUCUUCUAUCACUCCCAUUCAUUUGUUUACUUUAUGUGUCCAUUCAGACGUGUAGGCCACACCAGAGUCGUGAAGCUCAACUCUUUAUCUGUCCAUCACUUCUCAUAAAAGUCUUAUUCGUCCCAGUAAAACUCAAGAUCCUUCCUUAGUGGUUUUACAUUUUGGCAGGGAUCCCUGUUAAUAAUUUGUUGCCAUGUAUCUUUCAAUCAUCCUCCGAGUACUACGUCCAUCUUGUUUCAAUCAGCGCUCGGAGCGGGUGAUUUGAUGCACAGAUUGUUGAAGAUUGGGAUUUAGAAUACUGUGUGUGCAUAAUGCAUGUUGACCUGUGGCUCAAAUUGUCACCACCUGUGUCACGUUGCUUUUCCAAAUUUGACGCUACAACGAAUCGUUACGGCAUUUUGUGAAUCCCUCAUGAAUCUUCCCCCCACUUCCCCCAUAAGUACAGUCAAAAGAGGGGUUGCUUGUAGCAAUAAACCCACAGGAAAUGAUCAUGUGAAUGUGCAGCUCCCAUCACCUCACUGAACUUUAAAGUGUGUUUCAUUGUUCUGCUGUCUGGCAGAAGGAUUACUGUUGUGGUUCACUGUCACCUCUCAGGCCUCACAAAGGUCGUUUCAAGGCUCAUCAGGCAGCUGUUUUCAGAGAAAGAAGCUAUCAAAACUGUACUAUAUGCAUUCAGCAGCCAGAUAUUUGCAUCAGGAGUGGGUAGUGACCAAAAAAAGCGCUACAGGAAGAAGAAAUAUAUAUCGGACAAUAUCAAUGUUCAGAACUUGUUUUCUGCUUCUCCCUAAAUAGUCAACUUUUACAUCUUUCCGUGACUUUAAUUGAGUUUUAUGAGAGGCUAAACCCAUCAAUUAUAAUUUAGUUGUAAUGCAAGAUCAGCUAAAAACAUU